AUCGCUUCUCGGCCUUUUGGCUAAGAUCAAGUUUAGUAUCUGCUCUUACCAGUUUAAUAUCUGUUGUGUUCUCUAAAUGAGAAAGUUAUGUUAAACAGACUUUUAGAACAGAGAGCUGGAAUAGGAGCUUGCUCCACACAUCAACCUGGUAUUGCAAUACCUCCAGAAAUAGUGCCUUUAUU